rnacentral:rRNA from 1 species
UGAGGAAUAUUGCGCAAUGGGGGCAACCCUGACGCAGCGACGCCGCGUGAGUGAGGAAGGCCUUCGGGUCGUAAAGCUCUGUCAAAGGGAAAGAAGUGCAUGGUGGCUAAUACCUGCCAUGUUUGACGGUACCCUUACAGGAAGCACCGGCUAACUCCGUGCCAGCAGCCGCGGUAAUACGGAGGGUGCAAGCGUUGUUCGGAAUCACUGGGCGUAAAGGGCGCGUAGGCGGUUUGAUAAGUCAGAUGUGAAAGCCCACGGCUUAACUGUGGAAGGGCAGUUGAAAAUGUCAGACUAGAGUAGCAGAGGGGAAAGUGGAAGUCCCGGUGUAGAGGUGAAAUUCGUAGAUAUCGGGAGGAAUACCGGUGGCGAAGGCGACUUUCUGGCUGAAUACUGACGCUGAGGCGCGAAAGCGUGGGGAGCAAACA